UGUGUGUAAUAACGUUGGGUCUCCUUAACCUGUUAACCAGGUCGUUGACCCGUCUUCCCUGAUUAGCAGGUUAAGCCGUAGGGGACACUGAAACAAGGAUAAUUUGCUGUUUGACCCUGUCCUCGAAUUAUAAUUGCAUUUCUGCCCGAAUUAGUCGCAAAGUACGAUUGAAAUUAGUUCACAGAGUUCGACUGGUAGAGUUGUUUCGAAAAAUGCUUGGAAAGGUUAGCAGGCUCUAAUAACGCGGAGAGGUAGUUUCGCAUUCAGAUCGGUGGUGGCCAUUUUGAGCACUUCGUACGAAGGUAAGCAGCUGUACUCGGGCAGAAUACAAAAACGACUCUGUAUAACUCAGGAACAAGGUCAAACGGGGCGCACACGGUGGCCAUACGAACUUCUCUUUCAUUGCUUUUUGUCCUCUCAGUUUACUUCGCACUGCGGUGCCCCGUGUUAUGAAACACCCUGUAUACAAUUAAAGGCCGCAAGCAUUUAAACUUUCUCCUACCGAACGGAGGCCUGUCCGUAUAUAGAAAAAGAAAAGUGUUGUUUCAUAGUCGCUUCAGUUCGAAAGGUUUUACUGCACGCGAUGCAAGUCUAAGGUUUUUUCGCCGGCACAACGAGGUUUAUGUCCACGGCCACGGUUUCGACGGUGAUCAGGUUUGAUUUUGAAACGACUUCGCUGAGAAAACGCAUAUUACUUGGCUGUAUAUAUAUGGUAAAGUGUAAUGUUGUUUCAUAUUUUCAUAAAAAGUGAUGUGCAACUGUAUUGACGUUUCACGUUAUUUUUAAUUGCUGGAAAUCUUUACUAACAAAUACCAAAGAUACGCUAUUUGUACAUAUAACGGAUAUAAUAUAUCUUAUUGUCGCCAUUUUUAUCUCAAAGUAAAGAUAAUUAUGAGGAAUAUAAUAAAGAUAUAUGUCUUGAUAUGUUAUUAUAUAUUGAUUACUUAAAAUGCAUCAUUAAAUAUUUAUAUUUGAUCAUAUCAUUAUCUUCUUACGUCUUAGUUAUUGAAAAUUUGUAUGGAUAAUAAUAAAAUUUCAUUAUGUGCUUUUCA